CAAUUUACGAAUUUUUCAUAUUGUAUUUCAAAUUUAAGUUAAAUAUCAUUUUCUGCGGCCCCAGAAUGUUAAGAAUUGCGCUAAUAUUAACGUACCUUUUUGCGGUACGGCCGCUAUCUUUGUGACGUCGCGUAAUUGUUAUACUUUAUGUUGUAUUGAAUAGAAACGUAUAAUGGCAGACGUAGUUCUAUCUUUAACGCCUUAGUUAACUUACGAUCAAAUACACAACGCAACGCAAUAAUCUACAGUGGUCAUCCCAACCCUCCUGUUUGAGAACUUGGAAACGGUCGAGAUCCCCAAACCAAAACAAUAUAUAUUCAUGUAUGGAUCAAUAUAACUAAUUAAAUGAAAUAUAGGGGGAGUGCCUUGGGUCACCCUACCCUUCCUGUUUGAGAACUUGGAAACCAAUGAGAUCCCCACCCCUAAACCAUAUAUAUUCAUGUAUGGGACAAUAUAACAAAUAAAAUGAAAUGUAGGGGAAGUCCCUAGGGUCACCCUACCCCCAGUGGCGGAUCCAGAAAUAUUCAUAAGUGGGGCCCACUGACUGACCUAAGAGGGGCCCGCUCCAGUCAUGCUUCAGUGAUUACCUAUAUAAGCAACCAAAUUUUUUCCCCAAAAGGGGGGGGCGGGGCCCCCUGCCCCCUAAAUCCUCUGCCUACCCCUACCUGUUUGAGAACUUGAAAACCGUUGAGAUCCCUACCCCUAAAUUAUAUAUAUUCAUUUGUAUGGGACAAAAUAACAAAUCAUUUACAUUUACUAUGGGCAAGUCAGUCAGACCUCAUCUUUGAUCCCUGUUGUAGUGAACAUUUGUCUGAUUCGUGUCUCAUAACUUUUGUACUAUAGAACACACACUCAGUUUUCUUUCCAGGGAAACCAGUCCAUUCAUACUAUUACAUGUUCAUACUACGUCAAAUUGAACUUCUAGCAGUCAAAUAAAACCAAGGUUAACUACCAAGUAGAACAACUGCAAUUAUUGGGAACUUGUACCACUGCAGACUCACCAUAAAAAAUAUACAUUGAUAUAUGCAUUGCUUUUGAAACCAUGAUAACAUAUAAAUUAUUUGCCUUAAUAAAUAAAUCAUUAGAUAAACAUGAAUGUACUAUAUAUGAAUGUUUAAUGUUGAGGCAACAUUGCCACAGUUUUCAUAAUUACGGUUGCCUUGGUUUUUGGUUAACUGCCUUCAGCGCUUACAGCGCUUUGAUUUUAAAAUGGUGCAA
rnacentral:lncRNA from 1 species